rnacentral:rRNA from 1 species
UCGUAGUUGAACGUUCGGGUUCCGCGGGACGGGGCCGCCCCGCGAGGGACGGCGCCGCCCCGGGGCUCGUGAUAUCUUAUCUCGCCGCCCGUCGCGAGGCGGACGGAGGGAUGGAUGAGGUUACCUGGAAAAAAUCGGGGCGAUCUAGGCGGGCGAACCUCGCCAACGAACGAUCGGACAUGGGAUAACGGAAGAGGGCGUCGGCUCGACUUCGUCGGUUCCUCGGGCCGAGGCACGUACGGUGAAUAGGGACGGUCGGGGCCGCCCGUACCGGGUCGUGAGAGGUGAAAUUCUAGGAUCGACCCGAGACGAACUGCCGCGAAAGCAUUCGGCAAGGACGCUUUCAUUAAUCAAGAACGAAAGUCGGGGAUCGAAGACGAUCAGAUACCGUCGUAGUCCCGACCGUAAACGAUGCCGACCGAGGGCCCGGAGGAGUUACGUACGACCCUCCGGGCCCUCCCGCGAGAAAUCAGGAGUAUUCGGGUUCCGGGGGAGUAUGGUCGCAAGGCCGAAACUUAAAGGAAUUGACGGAAGGG